UGCAGAUACAGAUUUCGGCGGCUAACUGGGCUGCCUUUUCAAAUCAUUUCUAUUGUGUUUUGGUUUUCAGUCUUCCAAACACCAACUUGCAUAAUACUUUUUCCAAUCCUUUCCUUCGUUUUGCCUUUCAGUCUUCCAAACAGCAACAUCCAUAUACAGCUCCUUGAUUAAUUUGGUGAGUCAACUCGGUUCCCAGUGACCCUUCCACAGUUCCUCUUCGUCUCUUUAUCUGUCUUCAUCCGAGUUACUGUGUUACUUCACACAGAAUUCAAUCGCCUUCUCCUCAUCAUCUUCCAUGUUCCUUUUCGAGAAAAUCUAAAGUCAAGAAGCAAAGGUACUAUGGCACGUUAAAAUUGCAACCAAAAUAAAUCAGAUUCUCAGAGAAGACGAGAGAAAUAAGGUAGUUCAAUUCAUCAGAGAAUUUACCACCGCUGCAAUGUAUGGGCCUAUUUAAGCCCUCAAUUUCGACCUUAUAAGCAAGUCAUGUACGUACGACUUAUCAGAGUUUAUGGUUUCAUCUCAUCGAUUACCUCCUUUUUCCCCGUAGAUGAGAACCUUAAUCUUCCCCUCGAAAUCUUAUAUUCCUCAUCCUCUCCUUCACCUACAAUU
rnacentral:lncRNA from 1 species